CACGCCCUAAACGAUGUCAACUGGUUGUUGGGAAUUUACUUUCUCAGUAACGCAGCUAACGCGUGAAGUUGACCGCCUGGGGAGUACGGCCGCAAGGCUAAAACUCAAAGGAAUUGACGG
rnacentral:rRNA from 1 species